rnacentral:rRNA from 1 species
CCUCAGUGUCAGUAUCAGUCCAGGUGGUCGCCUUCGCCACUGGUGUUCCUUCCUAUAUCUACGCAUUUCACCGCUACACAGGAAAUUCCACCACCCUCUACCAUACUCUAGCUUGUCAGUUUUGAAUGCAGUUCCCAGGUUGAGCCCGGGGCUUUCACAUCCAACUUAACAAACCACCUACGCGCGCUUUACGCCCAGUAAUUCCGAUUAACGCUUGCACCCUCUGUAUUACCGCGGCUGCUGGCACAGAGUUAGCCGGUGCUUAUUCUGUCGGUAACGUCAAAACAGCAACGUAUUAAGUUACUGCCCUUCCUCCCAACUUAAAGUGCUUUACAAUCCGAAGACCUUCUUCACACACGCGGCAUGGCUGGAUCAGGCUUUCGCCCAUUGUCCAAUAUUCCCCACUGCUGCCUCCCGUAGGAGUCUGGACCGUGUCUCAGUUCCAGUGUGACUGAUCAUCCUCUCAGACCAGUUACGGAUCGUCGCCUUGGUGAGCCAUUACCUCACCAACUAGCUAAUCCGACCUAGGCUCAUCUGAUAGCGCAAGGCCCGAAGGUCCCCUGCUUUCUCCCGUAGGACGUAUGCGGUAUUAGCGUCCCUUUCGAGACGUUGUCCCCCACUACCAGGCAGAUUCCUAGGCAUUACUCACCCGUCCGCCGCUGAAUCAGAGAGCAAGCUCUCUUCAUCCGCUCGACUUGCAUGUGUUAGGCCUGCCGCCAGCGUUCAAU